GGAGGAAAAGAAACUAACAAGGAUUCCCCUAGUAGCGGCGAGCGAAGCGGGAAGAGCUCAAAUUUAUAAUCUGGCACCUUCGGUGUCCGAGUUGUAAUCUCUAGAAAUGUUUUCCGCGUUGGACCGCACACAAGUCUGUUGGAAUACAGCGGCAUAGUGGUGAGACCCCCGUAUAUGGUGCGGACGCCCAGCGCUUUGUGAUACAUUUUCGAAGAGUCGAGUUGUUUGGGAAUGCAGCUCAAAUUGGGUGGUAAAUUCCAUCUAAAGCUAAAUAUUGGCGAGAGACCGAUAGCGAACAAGUACCGUGAGGGAAAGAUGAAAAGCACUUUGGAAAGAGAGUUAACAGUACGUGAAAUUGUUGGAAGGGAAACGCUUGAAGUCAGACUUGCUUGCCGAGCAAUCGGUUUGCAGGCCAGCAUCAGUUUUCCGGGAUGGAUAAUGGUAGAGAGAAGGUAGCAGUUUCGGCUGUGUUAUAGCUCUCUGCUGGAUACAUCUUGGGGGACUGAGGAACGCAGUGUGCCUUUGGCGGGGGUUUCGACCUCUUCACACUUAGGAUGCUGGUGGAAUGGCUUUAAACGACCCGUCUUG
rnacentral:rRNA from 1 species